rnacentral:misc_RNA from 1 species
GAUGAAGAACGUAGCGAAAUGCGAUAAGUAGUGUGAAUUGCAGAAUUCAGUGAAUCAUCGAAUCUUUGAACGCACAUUGCGCCCCUUGGUAUUCCAUGGGGCAUGCCUGUUCGAGCGUCAUUUGUACCUUCAAGCUCUGCUUGGUGUUGGGUGUUUGUCUCGCCUCUGCGUGUAGACUCGCCUUAAAACAAUUGGCAGCCGGCGUAUUGAUUUCGGAGCGCAGUACAUCUCGCGCUUUGCACUCAUAACGACGACGUCCAAAAGUACAUUUUUACACUCUUGACCUCGGAUCAGGUAGGGAUACCCGCUGAACUUAAGCAUAUCAAAAGCGGAGGA